UAAAUACUCCCUCCGUCCCAAAAUUCUUGUCUUUGAUUUGUCUAGAUAUGAAUGUAUCUAGUCAUGUGUUAGUAUUUAGAUACAUCAAUUUCUAGACAAACGUAAGACAAGAAUUUUGGGACGGAGGGAGUACCCA
rfam:Hordeum vulgare subsp. vulgare, WGS project CAJW01000000 data, contig: morex_contig_135124